GCUCCCUGGAAACCCUCUACCUGAUCCCAGUGGUGCAGGCAUCUGUGUGUGCCUACAAAUGGAUGCAGUUUCUUUUCUCCUUCUACUCAGGGUCUUGGAAGGUAGUACUGGAAAUGUCCACAGGUCCAAGGAAGUUAGUUAGCAAAGUCACUUCUAUUCCUCAAGUUGGGGCCCAAGUAAGGGGCUAUUACUAAAUGAAGGGGCCACCAAGAAGGCAGGCCUAGCAGACUCUGCCGGGACAAAAGCCUGAAUUAGACAAGCAGCCAUGAGAACAGACAUGUAACCAGAACCACAGAUCAUGAGUCUAAGGUCCUUCAGCAACACGAAUGUCAGCAGCUGUGGGGCCUCCCAGCCCAGGUGGACCACAGCCACAGGGGCCGGCCAGAAUACACUCCAGGGCAAGCUGAUACACUGACCUUGCUGCAUCCCUGCUGGCACCAAGUGACCGUUACCCUCCUCUGGGUUGCCAUCAGUUUGCUUUGACUACCAGGGAAAACGGAAAGGGCUCACUGUCUUCUUCCCCAGCUGCAGGUACACUGUUUGAGUCCCACUCUGGCAGCUAGCUCUCCCACCAUUCUCAUCUGCCUAGAAGUCUCAUUGAACAGAGCUGGAUAGCUGUGAGAAAUUCAGCUAUGGAGAAAAGAAUGAAGUCUCAGUGCAACUAGGUUUGAAAAAUCAAAUCAAGGACAUGAGGCUCAAGGGCAUGGAUCUAACUUGAUUCCACUAAACCCAGAAAGAUUUCCUUGCUCCAAACAGCUCCUAGCACCACCACCAGAGUAGUGUGGAUGUAUGGCACCCAGACCUCACACUGCAAUCCGAGCAGGGCCAGAGGACUGAACUUACCCAUCCCAGCUGGGCGCCUGCCUAGGCUUCCAGCUGGCACUGUUUCUCCUGCAUAAUCCCAGCGGCUUGCUGGCUCUGGGCCACGCAUCCUGGGAAUGGGAGAUGGCAGGAUACCCCUCCUUCUCUCCACAACCUCACUCCUGCCCUCCUCUAGGUCUCCUUUAUUUCCCUCCAUAUUGCUUCCUACUAUGCUCUUCUGCUCCAAAUCCUCAACAAGGUUGGAGACCCUUGGACUCAGGGGAGGACACUUUGCUUCAGUUUGCUGAGUACUAUGGGAGGCAAGAGGCUGGCCAAGGGUGGAGUGGGGACAGAAAAGUGAGGAGUGGCACACAUGUGCACAGGCAUGUCCAUCAUUGUCCAUACACAUUGUGUACAGCUGUUCCACAGGGCCAAGGUCCUGGCAGCAUGGGCUGGCUCACCAUGCAGUGCCUAGCGCUUACAGGUGUACACAAGCUCCUGCUGCAUGCACUGCUGGCAUUCCACAUAGCAGCACCACUGAACCUGGCAGUGGCAGGAGAAGGCCACCAGGCGGCUCUGGGUGUCAUAGCCACGCCCACAGCACAAGCUGCUGCAGCUGGUCUCCCGGGAACACACCCUGCCAGCUGUGCCUGGAGAAUACUUGCUGGGCCGGCAGAAGCUGGGGGAGUCCUCCAUGUAGACCAGGUCAACCGCCGGGGUGCCAGGCCUUUGGCAGGGCCACCUGGCUUGGCAGGUGCCCACAGCUCCAGGUGGCCCAAAGCCUCGUUGGUGGCACUAGACACCUUGACAGCUGAGUCAUAGGCGCAGCUUCAGCACCUGGCCUGUCUCACGGAAUGGGGAGAGCUGCUUCCAGCAGGUGGUCCGGAGGCCACUCUUCACCGCC
ensembl:lncRNA